AAAUUGAAGAGUUUGAUCAUGGCUCAGAUUGAACGCUGGCGGCAGGCCUAACACAUGCAAGUCGAACGGUAACAGGAAGCAGCUUGCUGCUUCGCUGACGAGUGGCGGACGGGUGAGUAAUGUCUGGGAAACUGCCUGAUGGAGGGGGAUAACUACUGGAAACGGUGGCUAAUACCGCAUAACGUCGCAAGACCAAAGAGGGGGACCUUCGGGCCUCUUGCCAUCAGAUGUGCCCAGAUGGGAUUAGCUGGUUGGUGAGGUAACGGCUCACCAAGGCGACGAUCCCUAGCUGGUCUGAGAGGAUGACCAGCCACACUGGAACUGAGACACGGUCCAGACUCCUACGGGAGGCAGCAGUGGGGAAUAUUGCACAAUGGGCGCAAGCCUGAUGCAGCCAUGCCGCGUGUAUGAAGAAGGCCUUCGGGUUGUAAAGUACUUUCAGCGGGGAGGAAGGUGUUGUGGUUAAUAACUGCAGCAAUUGACGUUACCCGCAGAAGAAGCACCGGCUAACUCCGUGCCAGCAG
rnacentral:rRNA from 1 species